rnacentral:sRNA from 1 species
ACAGGCUGCCGUCAGAUUCUCAAGCCCCUAUUCCUCUCGGUGGCCUAAAUCCCCAACUGCUCGGGGCCACUUUUCAGGCCAAAAUGGGCCCAAAAUGGGGAGGGCAAGUGAUGAAUGUCACUAGACAGUCGGGCCCUCAAGGACCUGGCAAAUGGGGGCUUGGACCUCGGAUCGGCCUCCCACGCGAAGCUUGCUCCCCACCAGCAUCCCCACGUUGGUGGCGACGCUGCCCCGGCCCCACGGAUACUUCCGCGCCUGUCAGACUCCCUGAUGAACUACCCUUCCCAGAGUACCGCGGGAGCUCGGGCUCCUAAGGGCGACGGUCCUCUGAUGGCAGAUGCGGGAGAAACUCUGGCGUCAGGCGGCCCUCGCGUGGAGCACACGAAGUCGUGGCUUAUUCUGGCUUCAGUAUGUGGGGUGGAGAAGGCGAUCCACGCAGCUGCGUCUAUUUCCUGUGGAUCAAUCGCAGAAUACGUUCUGUAAGCCCCGCCCCCACUGCGUGCGGGCGGCUUUUGUCUCCACGGCAACCGUCAACUCUGGAAACGCCUGUCUUUCUCCAUGGCAACUGUCUACGCCGCAGGCUGGAGCCGCCCAUUACCGGAGCCCAUAUGGCAAUGACCCUUGGCCAGUCUCUGGGAACUAAACUCCUGGGAUGUUUACACAGGUGCUGGGUAAGAUGUUCUUCCAUAUGCUCAAGACCACGGGUCAAGAUGUACUAGGCUGUCAGCAUUGUUGACUGUAAAUAUGAAGAUGCAUGAUGGGCAUCUGGUACCUGGAUUGGAGUUCUCACUCUGUUCAUGUAGCAG